AUUGAACGCUGGCGGCAGGCCUAACACAUGCAAGUCGAACGAGUGGCGGACGGGUGAGUAAUGUCUGGGAAACUGCCUGAUGGAGGGGGAUAACUACUGGAAACGGUAGCUAAUACCGCAUACCAUCGGAUGUGCCCAGAUGGGAUUAGCGAGUAGGUGGGGUAAAGGCUCACCAAGGCGACGAUCCCUAGCUGGUCUGAGAGGCUGACCAGCCACACGGGAACUGAGACACGGUCCAGACUCCUACGUGAGGCAGCAGUGGGGAAUAUUGGGCAAUGGGCGCAAGCCUGAUGCAGCCAGGCCGCGUGUAUGAAGAAGGCUUUCGGGUUGUAAAGUACUGUCAGCGGGGAGGCGUUACCCACAGAAGAAGCACCGGCUAACUACGUGCCAGCAGCCGCGGUAAUAC
rnacentral:rRNA from 1 species